UAAAAUCUAGCACAAAAUUGAAAGCAGAUAUUGAUUUUGAUGAUAGUGGUGCGAAAGAUUUCAAUAGUCUAUCUUCAAAAGACCG
rnacentral:sRNA from 1 species